GACGAACGCUGGCGGCGUGCUUAGCACAUGCAAGUCGAACGAUGAACCCGGAGCUUGCUCCGGUGGAUUAGUGGCGAACGGGUGAGUAACACGUGAGUAACCUGCCCUUGACUCUGGGAUAACUGCGGGAAACUGUAGCUAAUACCGGAUACGACCCUCGGCGGCAUCGCCAGGGGGUGGAAAGAAUUUCGGUCAAGGAUGGACUCGCGGCCUAUCAGCUAGUUGGUGGGGUAACGGCUCACCAAGGCAACGACGGGUAGCCGGCCUGAGAGGGCGACCGGCCACACUGGGACUGAGACACGGCCCAGACUCCUACGGGAGGCAGCAGUGGGGAAUAUUGCACAAUGGGCGCAAGCCUGAUGCAGCAACGCCGCGUGAGGGAUGACGGCCUUCGGGUUGUAAACCUCUUUUAGUAGGGAAGAAGCGAAAGUGACGGUACCUGCAGAAAAAGCACCGGCUAACUACGUGCCAGCAGCCGCGGUAA
rnacentral:rRNA from 1 species